ensembl:lncRNA
AUGGGGCAGACGGGACCGCGAGGGCACUUUAGCGUUGGACUUCAAAGUCGUAGUCGCAAGUCGCAGAAUUCUGACUUUCAAAAAACCCUGUUUCAGUCAAAAUCACGAUGUUCCGCUCUCAAUGCACUUCGAUCCCAUACGCUGUUUUGGGGUGGCAACUGGAGUUGCAAAGCUCAUUUGUGCCACCCUUGUGGACACGCCACUGCUCUAAGGCUCUGCCAGCACAAAGACCAUGAGAACCAAACAAAUCCUCUGCACAAUCCUGUGUGACCAGCUUCAGCCCUACCAAACACUGACAUGAUGUAUCCCAAUCAUCAAGGAAAAGGAACCGGAUAUUUUGAAUAAUACUAAUCCACAAUGUGACUUGUGUUGCAGCCUGAAAUUAGACCUCACCAUGCUCAAAGCCACCUUUUGGUUUGCUUAGUUGGGGACACAUACAGUAAUAUUUGGUGAUCAAUCGACUUGAUUGCACUGACACUACUGGAUAAGAACUGAACUGAUGUCGGCAUCACUGCUUUAUACAGAGCUUCUUCAGAUAAACUGAACUCAUUCUAUAAUUGAUUAACUUUAUUAAACUGACCUCAAUCAACAAUGAACUAACUUUAACUGAAAAAUUUACUGUUUACUGUUGUCUUCUUUUUAGAGCAGCAUUACAGCAGAAUUGAAUUUUGUUUGCACACAUUAUUUUGCUGUUUAACAAUGUAAAGCUGUGUUGACACAACUGUAUAAAGCACUAAAUACAUAAAGGUGGCUUUUUUUUAUUUAUUUUUUAUUUUUAUAAAUUAUAUAGGAAGUUGAUCAUUAUAGCAGUUGACAGCAGAGGGCGCUACACACCAAUGUAUUAUAAAAUGUAUCGUUGUGGGGACCUUGAAAUCCUUCUUGGGUGCAAUAGCCUUCUGUUAAUUUUCCAUUUUACAGAUCUUUGGAUAUAACACAAUACCAAACUAUAACUUUUAUAUUAUAUUUCAUUAAAAAGGGGUUUCUGAAAGCACUUUUUAAGGACUACUUGCCCCAUUUAUAAAUCAGUUUGAAUCAGAAACCCUAAAAAUCUUACAAUCUUACAUUUAUUUUGUAUUCUUUGUACUAUUUAACUACAUAAUCGAUAAACCCAGCAGUUUCCCUUUACUGAGUCUAUUUCAGUCAUUUAUCUUUUUUUUCUAAACAAAUUUCAGUCAUAUACUGUUGUCUAAUGCAUUGGUUCUGAAAUUUUUAUCUAGCAGGACACACAUUGACACACAAACCAAUACUAGAUUAUAGCUUAUUACAUAGUAUAAAUAUAACCUCAUAAUUUAAGUCAUUUUGCAACAUCCUAGCAUGUAUAACGAUGCCCCAUAGUGGAUCCAGGGCCUCUGGUUCAGAAACACUGUUUUGGAUGACUUUGACUUACAUUUAUAUGGAAGAAUUUGAUGAUGGUUACAUUUCUUGAUUGUUUUGUUGCAACAACAUUAUCCACAGCUAAUAUGUAGCCUAUGCAUUCUAAUAAACUUGUUGGUUUCUACAAGCAUGGUUUCUACAAACCGUACUGUCAUUACAUGUUUAUAUAUAGAAAGUAUUUCUAGACUUUGCAUGACUCAUACUUUUGUGUCAAAGUCAAACAAAUUCUAGGAACACUUUCUAGCACACAAAAUAGAUGGUGAAUUGCCCUAAAUAUAUUUUUUUUGUAUUUCAGACUUUUGUGAAUUAUUGCGAUGUGUAGCCAAAACAUUCAAUCACACCGAUACCGAUACCCAAACCCCAGGAUGUGUCCUAAUCAAAUCAAAAGAGAAAAUGCAGAUAACACAUUUAUAAAAGAAAUUAUAGACAUAUUAUUGCUCUUAGUGCAAAUUGUUUGAGAAAAUCUGCAGCUUCCUAAUGUGGGGCAGUUGUGUUGCCAAUGUGGGACACUGAAAAGUCAAUGAUAGAAGUCCAAAAUCACCUUGAUUCAUGUGGAAUAAUAAGAUGCUUUUGGUUAUGUAUGGUUAAAAACAUGGAUAAUUGAAUAUCAUCAGAUAUGAUACAAUAUGAUGCAUUGAUGAAUUUAUAAUAAAGACAUUAAGCAACUAUAAUCAUUGGCCCAUGUUGUUAUGUAGAUAGAAAAGCACAAACAUUUUUUAAGCACAUUAGACCAAAAUGUAACAGGACUGUCUUUUUUUAAAUUAAUUUAUACUCCUUAAUAUCAAGUUUGUCCAAACUCUAUGUCACUUGACCUUCGGGUGGUCUUCACAUAAUGUGCUUCCUGUCUGAUGAUUGCUCUGCCCUCAAAUAUAACUGGAAAUCUGAGAGGUCAUAUGAUUUUGAUGACAUGAUACCACAGCUUUGGCAAACCCAUAGUUUCACUGUCAUUUAUGUAUUUAUGGGGGAGCUACAAACACUAGUCCUUAGGAGUCCCACUUUAUGGCAAUUCACCCUAUGAUAAAUUCUAGCACAUGAAAAUGAAGAAAUAAAGGAAAUUAAAAAUACAAAGAAUUACAAUAAACAAAAAAAAAAAAAAAAAAAUGUAAUUUCACAUAAAGAUGUCCUAUGCUUUGCUCUGGUUUCUUAAAACCAAGUAACAUAACGUUGUAUUUGUUUUAAAAAUAACACAAAUGUGUUUUCUUUCAACCUAUUUUGCUUUUCUUUAUUUUCUUUCUUCAUUUAUUUAUUUAAUUUUUCUAACAGAAUAAGACAGAAAUUAAAUUUUAAAUAAUUUAUAUGAUUUUGUUUCAUCCUUGUUAACUUAAACACAUAUAUCACUGCGCGAGAGAAUCCUUCCCAAUGAUUUAAAAUUCCCGCCCAUGUGUACUUCCGCCAGUAAAUAGUCCCACAUUUAUCGAAUUCAGCAAUACAUUAAACAUGUCUUCUACUAAUAGUAAAGACAUUACUAAUUACUAAAUACUAAUAUUGCUUUCCAAUGCGUCUUUGUUUUUUGUUUUUAUUUCGGAUGUGUGAACCUUGCGGAGGGAUUUAAUUCGCAAACAACCGUGCUUGUUUGGCGGGAAACGUCGGUGCGCAACGUAAUACGUCAGUGAUUUGCUCCUCGCGGGAGCUGCAGAAAUUAUACCUCCUGCGCCUGUCACACUCACAGACUAGUCUGGCCAGCAUCCGAGACGUACACAGGAGCGCAUCGUUGAUUACAUUUUCCAUCACUUUCCAUUUGACCAGGUCUCUGAUUCCACUUAUGCUGCUAGAGACUGGAGUAAACUGUUGGAUCUUACUUUUUGCUGCUGGUUUGUUUUGGUCCUCUUUUCACUGCAUCGCGUCUAGAGAGAAAUCAUUCUGAAGCUGCAUUCGUUAAUUUACACGGUAAGGAUCCGGCAUUUGUUAUUGCAUGCAUCUUUUAGACUUAAAGUGCAACUUGCGUGUUAUGUGUGCAAAUGUCUUUAUAUUUCUAACAGGAAUUUGAAUGUUGCACGCUCAAAGAUUGCACUAGAAGCAAGACUGCUUUUUAAUGUUUUGAUAGUAAACCCCGCUUUGGGGUUUAAUUGUUACACACGAUUAAGUUCCAUUAUUUAGCAAUUUUUUUCCACCCCAUGCAUGUUAUGCAUAGUGUAAAUAUGUGCAUUAGUAAAAGCGUUUUGUUGUGAUGUGUAGUUAGACGUUGCAUAUGCACUGUAACGUUAGUAAUUCCAAUGUG